rnacentral:rRNA from 1 species
UGGGGAAUUUUGGACAAUGGGCGCAAGCCUGAUCCAGCCAUGCCGCGUGAGUGAAGAAGGCCUUCGGGUUGUAAAGCUCUUUCGGCCGGGACGAAAUGGCGCGGGGUAACAUCCCGCGUCGAUGACGGUACCGGAAGAAGAAGGACCGGCUAACUACGUGCCAGCAGCCGCGGUAAUACGUAGGGUCCAAGCGUUAAUCGGAAUUACUGGGCGUAAAGCGUGCGUAGGCGGUUUCGAAAGUCCGAUGUGAAAUCCCCGGGCUUAACCUGGGAACUGCGUUGGAAACUACGAGGCUAGAGUGCGGCAGAGGGGGGUGGAAUUCCAGGUGUAGCAGUGAAAUGCGUAGAGAUCUGGAGGAACACCGAUGGCGAAGGCAGCCCCCUGGGUUAGCACUGACGCUGAUACACGAAAGCGUGGGGAGCAAACAGGAUUAGAUACCCCCGUAGUCC